UGAGGAAUUUUGCGCAAUGGGAGCAAUCCUGACGCAGCAACGCCGCGUGGGUGAUGAAGGCCUUCGGGUCGUAAAGCCCUGUCAGGUGGGAAGAAUGUCCCGGGACUGAACAGGUUCCGGGAGUGACGGUACCACCAGAGGAAGCACCGGCUAACUCCGUGCCAGCAGCCGCGGUCAUACGGAGGGUGCAAGCGUUAUUCGGAAUUACUGGGCGUAAAGCGCGUGUAGGCGGUCCUGCAAGUCUGAUGUGAAAGCCCGGGCUUAACCCGGGAAGUGCAUUGGAAACUGUGGGACGUGAGUACUGGAGAGGAUGGGGGAAUUCCCGGUGUAGAGGUGAAAUUCGUAGAGAUCGGGAGGAAUAUCAGUGGCGAAGGCGCCCAUCUGGACGGUAACUGACGCUGAGACGCGAAAGCGUGGGGAGCAAACA
rnacentral:rRNA from 1 species